GCUCAGGGCAGUGUGCAUCUAUUACUGGGCUUACUUCACCCGCUCAGGGCAGUGGGCAUCUAUUACUGUGCUUACUUCACCCGCUCAGGGCAGUGUGCAUCUAUUACUGGGCUUACUUCACCCCCUCAGGGCAGUGUGCAUCUAUUACUGGGCUUACUUCACCCACUCAGGGCAGUGUGCAUCUAUUACUGGGCUUACGUCACCCGCUCAGGGCAGUGUGCUUCUAUUACUGGCUUAAUGCACCCAUUCAGGACAGUGGGUAUAUAUUAGUGUGCUUCCUGCACCCGCUCAGUGCAGUGGGUGUCUACUACUGUGUUUACUUCACCCGUUAAUGGCAGUCGGCGUCUAUUACUGUGCUUACUUCACCAGCUCAGGACAGGGGGUGUCUAUUACUGUGCUUACUGCACCCUCUCAUGGCAGUGGGCGGCUAUUACUGUGCUUGCUUCAUUGGCUCAGGACAGUGGGCAUCCAUUACUGUGCUUGCUUCAUCCGCUCAGGACAGUGGGCAUCUAUUACUGUGCUUGCUUCAUCCGCUCAGGGCAGUGUGCAUCUAUUACUGUGCUUACUUCACCCACUCAGGGCAGUGUUGAUCUAUUACUGGGCUUACUUCACCCGCUCAGGGCAGUGUGCAUCUAUUACUGGCUUAAUGCACCCAUUCAGGACAGUGGGUUUAUAUUAGUGUGCUUCCUGCACCCGCUCAGUGCAGUGGGUGUCUACUACUGUGUUCACUUCACCCGUUAAUGGCAGUCGGCGUCUAUUACUGUGCUUACUUCACCAGCUCAGGACAGGGGGUGUCUAUUACUGUGCUUACUGCACCCUCUCAGGGCAGUGGGCGUCUAUUACUGUGCUUGCUUCAUCCGCUCACCACAGUGGGUGUCUAUUACUGUGCUUACUUCACCUGCUCAGGGCCGUGGGUGUCUGUUACUGUGCUUUCUUCACCCGCUCAGGGCAGUGGGCAUCUAUUAUUGUGCUUACUGCACCCUCUCAGGGCAGUGAGCGUGUAUUACUGUGCUUCCUGCACCAGCUCAGGGCAGUGGGCAUCUAUUACUGUGCUUACUUCACCCACUCAGGGCAGUGGGCAUCUAUUACUGUGCUCAGUUCACCCUUCAUGGCAAUGGGCAUCUAUUACUGUGCUUACUGCACCCGCUCAGGGCAGUGGGCAUCUAUUACUGUGAUUACUGUACCAUCAUGCAUCCUCCCUUCUGUUUAAAGCAGCACCUUGAUGCCUUAGGAGGAACCAGGUCCUUCCCACUCAAUCCAGGUGUUGCCAGGCCAGAAGCACGUGACCCAGGCUGGGUGAAUCAGUGCCCUGCAUGCCCUGCCUCAGUGCGGGGGUGAGGACCUGAUCCAAAUGGUCAAAGCCUGAUGAAGGAAUCCUGGGCCUGGAGGAAGGGCUACCGGGAAGAAACGUUCCUUUUCUUUCUGGCUAGACUUUGGCUAGACUGAGAGAAUGCAAGGCUUGAGCAACAAAGGGGGAAACUGUCUGCCCAAGGAAGCGACAUAGAGCAAAGAGGAGGGUCCCGAGGAUGUUGCUUCAUUGGGUCACACCAUUCCUGAGGCAGUCUACUCUGACCUUCAGUUAUGGGGUCCAAUAAAUCCCCCCUUUUUCUUUUGAGGAAAAUUAGCCCUUAUCUAACAUCUGCCGUCAAUCCUCCUCUUUUUGCUGAGGAAGACUGGCCCUGAGCUAACAUCGGUGCCCAUCUUCCUCUGCUUUAUAUGUGGGAUGUCUGCCUCAGUGUGGCUUGAGAAGUGGUGUGAAUGUCUGCGCCCAGGAUCCAGGCAGCGAACCCCGGGCUGCCGAAGUGGAACGUGCACUUAACCGCUGUGCCACCGGGCCGGCCCCCCAAUAAAUUCCUUUUGUUUAAUCUGUUUGGGUUGAGUUUUCUGUUACUUGUAUCCAAAAUAGUCCCAACUGGUGCACCCAACGGCCAUAUGCCAGAGUCGGUGUCUCUUGGAGCGGCAGCUCAGAGAGAGAGCUGUCCACACAGGACACCAUGGAGAGGACACGCCUGCCUCAGUGCUCCCGAGCCAGAGGAGCCCUGGGCCUCCUGGGAGGGCUGGCUGAACCCGAGCAGGGUAACGGGUCUGAAACCUGGGCAGGGGUCCAGCUCCCCCAACAGUCCUGGCCCCGCGGGCUGCCCUCAGCGCUCCGCCCAGCUCCCUCCAGGAUGCUCACUCUCCCUGGUCCCUGUCCUGGGCGGCGGGGUCCAGCUCCCCCAACAGUCCUGGCCCCGCGGGCUGCCCUCAGCGCUCCGCCCAGCUCCCUCCUGGAUGCGCACUCUCCCUGGUCCCUGUCCUGGGCGGCGGUGCCGAGCUCCCGGGUGCAGCCGAACCCGGUGCUCCCUGGGGCCGGAGUCCUCCAUUUUCACGCGUAACUGAAACAAACUGAGCAGAGGGUGACCUGACCUGCGUGCGAUUUUAUACCGUAUUUUG
ensembl:lncRNA